CCUACGGGUGGCUGCAGUGGGGAAUAUUGGGCAAUGGGCGCAAGCCUGAUCCAGCAACGCCGCGUGAAUGAAGAAGUCUUUCGGGUUGUAAACCUCUUUUGGCAGGGAAGAGCCGAAGACGGUACCUGUCGAAUAAGCCACGGCUACCUAAGUGCAAGCAGCCGCGGGAAUACGUAGGGGGCAGGCGUGAUCCGGAAUUACUGGGUGGAAAGGGAGGGUAGACGGUUAAGAAAGUCUGGAGUGAAAGGCGGGGGCCCAACCCCGGGACUGUUUUGGAAACUAUUGAACUUGAGUGCAGGAGAGGUAAGCGGAAUUCCUAGUGUAGCGGUGAAAUGCGUAGAUAUUAGGAGGAACACCAGUGGCGAAGGCGGCUUACUGGACUGUAACUGACGUUGAGGCUCGAAAGCGUGGGGAGCAAACAGGAUUAGAUACCCGGGUAGUC
rnacentral:rRNA from 1 species